CUCAUAUCUCUCUGAAUAUAUUCAACCAAAAGUGGCUGGAUUGUAUUCCUUGCACUCUCAAGAAUCACUGCUCCUGUCUGUACCAAGUGUCCGCACAGAAACUGGGAAGGUGGCAUUUCAGUUUUCUGCCCCCACAACAUGGAACAAUCUACAGAAAGACUGGAAACUAAAGGAACUGGUUCCAAUUGGCAAGUUUAAACUUUUGCUCAAAGGUUUGGAAAUGAAGUCCAUGAUUUGUAAAUGCUUUUAAAUAGCUUUAUUAUUGUAUGAAAAUGUCUUUUAUGCUUUGAAUUUGAUGUGAU